AUUGAACGCUGGCGGCAGGCCUAACACAUGCAAGUCGAGCGGAGCGGCGGACGGGUGAGUAAUGCCUAGGAAUCUGCCUGGUAGUGGGGGAUAACGUCCGCAAACGGGCGCUAAUAUCGCCUACUAUCACAUGAGCCUAUGUGGGAUUGGCUCGUUGGUGGGGUAAAGGCCUACCAAGGCGACCAUCCGUAACUGGUCUGAGAGGAUGAUCAGUCACACUGGAACUUAGACACGGUCCAGACUCCUACGGGAGGCAGCAGUGGGGAAUAUUGGACAAGGGGCGAAAGCCUGAUCCAGCCAUGCCGCGUGUGUGAAGAAGGUCUUCGGAUUGUAAAGCACUUUAAGUUGGGAGGCGUUACCAAAAGAAUAAGCACCGGCUAACUUCGUGCCAGCAGCCGCGGUAAUUA
rnacentral:rRNA from 1 species